rnacentral:rRNA from 1 species
UACAGAGGGUGCAAGCGUUAAUCGGAAUUACUGGGCGUAAAGCGCGCGUAGGUGGUUUGUUAAGUUGGAUGUGAAAUCCCCGGGCUCAACCUGGGAACUGCAUUCAAAACUGACAAGCUAGAGUAUGGUAGAGGGUGGUGGAAUUUCCUGUGUAGCGGUGAAAUGCGUAGAUAUAGGAAGGAACACCAGUGGCGAAGGCGACCACCUGGACUGAUACUGACACUGAGGUGCGAAAGCGUGGGGAGCAA